CCAGUUCAGUCACCCUUACAAGGUAUUGUUUUUUCAAUUUCUUUUCCAAUGAACUUUAUUGGGUUUGUGGAUUUAUUCUUGUUUGGAUGAUUAAAAGGAGUACUAACGUGUUGGGACAAAAUUCAUUUCAGAAGUGCUAUUAUUUCCUUGGACAAUUUCUUUGAAUCGUGUGAAGUUACUGUUAAUAAUUUUUAAAAAUGUUUUCGUUCUAUGUGUUCUAUGGAUAUAAUUGAGGUAGCCGAGAUGGAUUUGUGCCUUGAUAUAUGAGUCAAUAAUAAGCAUAGUUUGAAUGUAAAUGUUUUGACGAAUAACUGGGUUUUGAAUUGAAAUAUGUUGCUAGGUUGAGCUUCACACCCUGCGUGUUUGUGAUUAUGCCUAGCUGAACAUCAGAUUAGAAACUUGAUCACUGUUUACGAUAUAAGCCAGGGAGAAUUUAUAGGUACCCAAUGAAUGUUUUUGAGAUUUAGUUAUAAAUCAUUCAUUAAAUACAUAUUAGGCAUGUGAGCUCCUUUUAAUUGCACUUUAAUCUACAUUUGAUGUGUCCUUAGGGGAAGCAGAAGGAUAUCUAUUGUACAGAAUGGAAGCUCACUUAACAUUCUGUACUGAAGUUUAAAACUCGACUGAUCUUUGAACUUUUAUUUGUAGUUGAAGGCAUUAGGCCUGAGUCUCUGAUUGUGGAAGACUGCGUCAGCAAUCAGCCUCUAUAGGUUUGAAGAUGGAUCAAUUCUCUGUUUGAUACUACUUGAUAAGAUCCAUUAUUACAUUUACAAGCUACUAGCACAUUUUGAUUUUUUACCAACCUCUUCCAUUUUCCCAACUUAUAUAUCACCAUAUACUAGCACAUAUUUACAUAAUGUUUUCUAAGACCUAUAUUAGAAUGCCCUGACAACUUUUAUUCCAUAAUAUGAGCAGUUAGUGUUGGCUGAAGUGUUUUCUUCUGGUUGAUGAUGACAGAAAUCUCAUAUGUGUUUGGGCUAUAUAUAUAUAUAUAUUUCUGACCUAUGCUCCAAAAAAUCUUAUCGUACAUGCCAUUUUCCUAGGAAAGUACAUGUAACUGUUUAAUUCAUGUUUUGCCAAGCACAUGCUUGCACAUGAGAGAGUUGGAACUUUUUCCCACAUUGUAAUCUUCAUCAAAUUUGAUUUAAAUAGUUCUAGGUAUUAUGCAGUUUGUUCCUGACAUCUUAUGCUACACUUUUUGGUGUGUAAUACAGGAGAAAAAUUCAUACUGUAGUGAAGGCAACAGCUCGGGUUGAUAAGUUCUCGAAAAGUGAUGUCAUUGUUUCUCCAUCCAUUCUCUCUGCUAAUUUUUCAAAGCUAGGAGAGCAGGUUAUGCUUUUCUUUUCACUACUUUUGCAAUAUUUUUAGUGUUGUAAAUGUUAUGUUUUAUGGCUUUAUAACCAAACAGGUGCUAAUAUGUUUGAACGCCUAUUAUAGGAUAUAUAUGAUCUGUAUUAUUGCAUUUGUGUUGUUGUAAUUUAUGUUUCUUUACAGUUCUUUACUCUGUGGCUGUUCUCUAUGAUCUCCAACUCUCCAUGUUAUGUUUAGACUUAUUUAUUUAUUUGUUAAGUUUUCUUUCAUUUUUUCUAGGUAAAAGCAGUAGAGUUGGGAGGUUGUGAUUGGAUCCAUGUUGAUGUAAUGGAUGGUCGUUUUGUUCCGAACAUCACCAUUGGGCCUCUUGUGGUUGAUGCUUUGCGGCCAGUGACAGAUCUUCCUUUGGAUGUGCAUUUGAUGAUUGUGGAACCUGAACAAAGAGUGCCAGAUUUUAUCAAGGCUGGAGCUGACAUAGUCAGUGUUCACUGUGAACAAUCCUCCACCAUCCAUUUGCAUCGCACAAUAGAUCAGAUAAAAAGUCUUGGAGCUAAAGCUGGAGUUGUCUUGAACCCUGCUACCCCACUGACUGCUAUAGACUAUGUCCUUGAUGGCAAGUUUCUAUUUCCCUUUUCCCGUAAAUUUACUUUUAUUCUUUUUUCUGUUUGCUACCUUUCAUAAUUUUCUAAAUGAUGACUGAUGAUUGUCAAGACUCCUCCCCCCUAUGUGGUAUGGUCUGCUUGCUGAACUGGAGGUUAGUUAUGGAUGCAUGUCUAGUUUUCCUGUGGUUGAGCAAAACAAAAUUAUGAAAACAACAAAAUUAAAAAAAUAAGUCUUACACAGUAACCUCAAGGUGCCCAAAUGAGCUAUGGCAUAAAUUUUCAACAGUUAGGAUAGGAGGACAAGUGCAUACGAUUAACAGUCAUAUAAUUAACAGUAUUUGGAGAAGUAUGGUACAGUUCUUAUUGUUAAAGAGGC
rnacentral:misc_RNA from 1 species